UACUAGAGUAGCACUCGCAUAUCAAUAAGCGGAGGAAAAGAAACUAACAAGGAUUCCCCUAGUAACGGCGAGUGAAGCGGGAAGAGCUCAAAUUUGAAAUCUUAAAGGGUUUCCCUUUACGAAUUGUAGUUUAAAGAAGUGUUUUCUGUUGAGGUUUUGGUAAAAGUUCUUUGGAAUAGGACAUCAUAGAGGGUGAGAAUCCCGUAUUUGACCUUUACUUUCAACCUUUGUGAUACACUUUCAAAGAGUCGGAUUGUUUGGGAAUGCAGUCCAAAAAUGGGUGGUAAAUUUCAUCUAAAGCUAAAUAUUGGCGAGAGACCGAUAGCGAACAAGUACCGUGAGGGAAAGAUGAAAAGAACUUUGAAAAGAGAGUUAAACAGUACGUGAAAUUGUCAAAAGGGAAGCGUUUGACACCAGUGUUGUUUUUCUGAAAAUCAAUUAAAGAACUGUUUAUGCUAAGUUGUUUAGACUUUAUCAGCUAUCUGUUUAGUUUUGAGCUUUUCUUUAAUGCACUUUUCAGUUAACAAGUCAACAUCAAUUUCUUUUGCUGUAAAAAAGCUUGAGGAAGGUGGCUUGAGAUUCGUCUUAAGUGUUUAUAGCCUCUUGCCUAUGCAGUCGGAGAGAUUGAGGUCUGCAGCGUAGAUCCUUCGGGGCUAAAUGCAUUUGUGCUAAGUUAUAGCAUUUUAUAGACAACUUGUUGACUAUGAUUUGUCUUGUAGCUUACUCGCUUAUGUUAUUUUACCUACGCUUAGGAUGUUGAACUCUAUCACACACAG
rnacentral:rRNA from 1 species